UGGAUUGGAGUAGCUUAUAUAAGAAAAUUAGUUGUAUCCCACGUUUGGCACACACGAGGACUCAAUUAAAUGAGAUAAGAGAGUCCCCGCGUCAGCUCCCGACCUUCUUACAUAAACCCCCCAAAACUCACCGGACUGUGGAAGCAAGGGCUUCAACAACGCUCGUGGGUCUCUCGAUCUAUUUCGCGCGCUUCAGCCUCGUCUCUCCCUCUCUUUCGCGCUUCAACCUUGUGUCUCCACUGUCGAUCGCGCUUCAUCCUCCUUCAACUUCCAGAAGAAAAGAAAAGAAGAAGAACAAGAAGAGGAAGAAGAAGAGGGAAAUAGAGUAAAUUGAUCAUCCCAAGUACUUUUUCUGUGAGUUGUUGCCCAGUAUAUGUCAGUUAAAACAAGUUGCCAGCUUUUGCUUAUUUGAAAUACUAUUUACCAUAUCUGAUUACUCAUGUUUAUUUACGGGUGUUUAUUGGGUUGCUGAAUUUGGAGUUUGAUGUGAUUCAGUUUAUAAGAGAUGUAAGAUAAAAGCAAAGAUUUUCUUAUCAGCUAUUGGAAUUAUUGGGUUUUGAUAUGGGGAGGAAGGGGGUGAAUUUGGGUGGUAGGGAUUUCCAUAAGCAUAUCAAAAGAGGCAGCUAAUACAGUUCGAGAAGAAUCUUAGAACUUAGAAAAGAGCACAUCAGUUGAUAGCAGAAAAGGUAACAAUAGCUAAACUAGUAGGAAUGUAUAAAACAGUGCUUACAGACUUAAUGAUAUUACUAUUUGCUUACAAGUAUGCAUAUUGUGGUUGCUCUUCUCAAGCUAUUUGGUUAUUAGAUUUCUUCUUGCUGUAUGUGAACUUUGCCAAAAAAACAAGCUACAACAGUUUCUCACGACAUUUUCUGAUUGCCAUCUUCCUACGAAUUGUCUUCAGCUUUCACCUUCCAAUUUUCUUUUCUUCUCACAAACUCAGAAAAUCGUUCAUGUUUCUACAAAUUACCAACUUUUAGUCCAAUGCACAAACAAACAUGGGAUAUGACUAUUUUGACUAUUCUGCACUUUAGUCCUAAGCAGUACCAAACAUGGGUCAGGUAUUAACAUAGCAUAUCCCAGGCUAGAAGAGUCCUAGACUAUUAUAGGAAAUAAGGUGGGGGAUAAUAGUCCCAUGUAACAAACA